CCUACGGGAGGCAGCAGUGGGGAAUAUUGGACAAUGGGCGAAAGCCUGAUCCAGCCAUGCCGCGUGUGUGAAGAAGGCCUUCGGGUUGUAAAGCACUUUCAGUGGGGAAGAAAGCCUUGGGGCUAAUACCCUCGAGGAAGGACAUCACCCACAGAAGAAGCACCGGCUAACUCCGUGCCAGCAGCCGCGGUAAUACGGAGGGUGCGAGCGUUAAUCGGAAUUACUGGGCGUAAAGCGCGCGUAGGCGGUCUGAUAAGCCGGUUGUGAAAGCCCCGGGCUCAACCUGGGAACGGCAUCCGGAACUGUCAGUCUAGAGUGCAGGAGAGGAAGGUAGAAUUCCCAGUGUAGCGGUGAAAUGCGUAGAGAUCGGGAGGAAUACCAGUGGCGAAGGCGGCCUUCUGGACUGACACUGACGCUGAGGUGCGAAAGCGUGGGUAGCAAACAGGAUUAGAUACCCCGGUAGUC
rnacentral:rRNA from 1 species